GAUGAACGCUGGCGGCGUGCUUAACACACGCAAGUCGAACGAUGAAGCCCAGCUUGCUGGGUGGAUUAGUGGCGAACGCGUGAGUAAAACGUGAGUAACCUGCCCUUGACUCUGGGAUAAGCCUGGGAAACUGGGUCUAAUACUGGAUAUGACUUCUCAUCGCAUGGUGGGGGGUGGGAAGAUUUUUUGGUCUUGGAUGGACUCGCGGCCUAUCAGCUUGUUGGUGAGGUAAUGGCUCACAAAGGCGACGACGGGUAGCCGGCCUGAGAGGGUGACCGGCCACACUGGGACUGAGACACGGCCCAGACUCCUACGGGAGGCAGCAGUGGGGAAUAUUGCACAAUGGGCGCAAGCCUGAUGCAGCGACGCCGCGUGAGGGAUGACGGCCUUCGGGUUGUAAACCUCUUUCAGUAGGGAAGAAGCGAGAGUGACGGUACCUGCAGAAGAAGCGCCGGCUAACUACGUG
rnacentral:rRNA from 1 species